rnacentral:rRNA from 1 species
CCUACGUGUGGCUGCAGUGGGGAAUCUUCCGCAAUGGGCGAAAGCCUGACGGAGCAACGCCGCGUGAUCGAAUGAAGGCCUUCGGGUUGUAAAGAUCUGUUGACAGGGACGAAUAAGCAAUGCGAAUAGUUUUUUGUAUGACGGUACCUGUUUAGAAAGCUCCGGCUAACUACGUGCCAGCAGCCGCGUUAAUCCGGAGGGAGCAAGCGUUGUCCGGAAUUACUGGGCGUAAAGGGCGCGUAGGUGGGCGCUUAAGUCAGGUGUGAAAUCUACGGGCUCAACCUGGAGACUGCACUUGAAACUGGGUGUCUUGAGGGCAGGAGAGGAAAGUGGAAUGCCUAGUGUAGCGGUGAAAUGCGUAGAGAUUAGGAGGAACACCAGUGGCGAAGGCGACUUUCUGGACUGUAACUGACGCUGAGGCGCGAAAGCGUGGGUAGCGAACGGGAUUAGAUACCCUUGUAGUC